rnacentral:rRNA from 1 species
CCUACGGGAGGCAGCAGUGGGGAAUAUUGCGCAAUGGGCGCAAGCCUGACCCAGCAACGCCGCGUGAAUGAAGAAGGCUUUCGGGUUGUAAACUUCUGUUCUGAGGUACGAAGAAAGUGACGGUACCUCAGGAAUAAGCCACGGCUAACUACGUGCCAGCAGCCGCGGUAAUACGUGGGUGGCAAGCGUUAUCCGGAUUUAUGGGGUGUAAAGGGCGCGUAGGCGGGGAAGCAAGUCAGAUGUGAAAACUCAGGGCUCAACCCUGGGCCUGCAUUUGAAACUGUUUGGCUUGAGUGCUGGAGAGGCAAUCGGAAUUCCGGGUGUAGCGGUGAAAUGCGUAGAUAUACGGAGGAACACCAGUGGCGAAGGCGGAUUGCUGGACAGUAACUGACGCUGAGGCGCGAAAGCGUGGGGAGCAAACAGGAUUAGAUACCCGGGUAGUC